UAUGGCCAUGUCAAUUUGAAACCAGUUCCUGUACGAUCACUGAAGUUAAGCAACAUCGAGCCUGGUCAAUACCUAGACGGGUGACCAUUUGGGAAUAGCAGGUGCUGUA